AGGGUAGACCUCCCACCCUUGUGUAUUAUUACUUUGUUGCUUUGGCGAGCUGCCUUCGGGCCUUGUAUGCUCGCCAGAGAAUACCAAAACUCUUUUUAUUAAUGUCGUCUGAGUACUAUAUAAUAGUUAAAACUUUCAACAACGGAUCUCUUGGUUCUGGCAUCGAUGAAGAACGCAGCGAAAUGCGAUAAGUAAUGUGAAUUGCAGAAUUCAGUGAAUCAUCGAAUCUUUGAACGCACAUUGCGCCCCUUGGUAUUCCGGGGGGCAUGCCUGUUCGAGCGUCAUUUCAACCCUCAAGCUUAGCUUGGUAUUGAGUCUAUGUCAGUAAUGGCAGGCUCUAAAAUCAGUGGCGGCGCCGCUGGGUCCUGAACGUAGUAAUAUCUCUCGUUACAGGUUCUCGGUGUGCUUCUGCCAAAACCCAAAUUUUUCUAUGGUUGACCUCGGAUCAGGUAGGGAUACCCGCUGAACUUAA
rnacentral:rRNA from 1 species